GCCUAAAGCGUCCGUAGCCUGCUCUGUAAGUUUCCGGUUAAAUCCAUUAGCUCAACUAAUGGGCCGCCGGAAAAACUGCAAAGCUAGGGAGUGGGAGAGGUAGACGGUACUCGGUAGGAAGGGGUAAAAUCCUUUGAUCUAUCGAUGACCACCUGUGGCGAAGGCGGUCUACCAGAACACGUUCGACGGUGAGGGAUGAAAGCUGGGGGAGCAAACCGGAUUAGAUACCCGGGUAGUCCCAGCUGUAAACGAUGCAGACUCGGUGAUGCGCUGGCUUGUGGCUAGUGCAGUGCCGCAGGGAAGCCGUUAAGUUUGCCGCCUGGGAAGUACGUACGCAAGUAUGAAACUUAAAGGAAUUGGCGGGGGAGCACCACAAGGGGUGAAGCCUGCGGUUCAAUUGGAGUCAACGCCAGAAAUCUUACCCGAGGAGACAGCAGAAUGAAGGUCAAGCUGGAGACUUUACCAGACAAGCUGAGAAGUGGUGCAUGGCCGUCGCCAGCUCGUGCCGUGAGAUGUCCUGUUAAGUCAGGUAACGAGCGAGACCCUUGCCUCUAGUUGCCACCAUUGCUCUCUGGAGCAGUGGGGCGAAUUAGCGGGACCGCCGCAGUUAAUGCGGAGGAAGGAAGGGGCCACGACAGGUCAGUAUGCCCCGAA
rnacentral:rRNA from 1 species